rnacentral:rRNA from 1 species
AGUGAACGCUGGCGGUAGGCCUAACACAUGCAAGUCGAACGGCAGCACAGUAAGAGCUUGCUCUUACGGGUGGCGAGUGGCGGACGGGUGAGGAAUACAUCGGAAUCUACUUUUUCGUGGGGGAUAACGUAGGGAAACUUACGCUAAUACCGCAUACGACCUACGGGUGAAAGCAUGGGAUCUUCGGACCUUGCGCGAUUGAAUGAGCCGAUGUCGGAUUAGCUAGUUGGCGGGGUAAAGGCCCACCAAGGCGACGAUCCGUAGCUGGUCUGAGAGGAUGAUCAGCCACACUGGAACUGAGACACGGUCCAGACUCCUACGGGGGGCAGCAGUGGGGAAUAUUGGACAAUGGGCGCAAGCCUGAUCCAGCCAUACCGCGUGGGUGAAGAAGGCCUUCGGGUUGUAAAGCCCUUUUGUUGGGAAAGAAAAGCAGCAGGUUAAUACCCCGCUGUUCUGACGGUACCCAAAGAAUAAGCACCGGCUAACUUCGUG